CUAGGCCCCAGCUGAUUGGCCCAUCCCUUCCUUCAAGGCCCCGCCUCCAACCCCUGACCUCGCACUCGCCUUGGCUCUUACAUGGUGCACAGCUCGUCCGCGCGUCCCCGCAGCUCCUGCAGGCCCCGUGCUGUCUGCGCCUGCUCGCGCUGCGCGCGCUCCCAUUGGCCCAGGAAGCCGUCGAGCCUGCCGCCCAGGCCCCCAAGCAGCCGCAGGGCCUCCUGCACUGCCCCCUCCUCCUGAUGCCAGCGGGCAGUCAGCGAGGACACUUCCCUCCUGGAGAGGGAAGAGGUAAGAACCGGUCAAGGCCCGGGUUUGGACGCGUGCCCAGCGGCCCCGCCCGGCCCAUGGCUCUGGGCUGUGGAUACACCGAGUUGGAGGAAAUCUAGAAGAGGGGAACUUGGCUGAGGAACAGGAAGAAGAGGUGUUGUGGGGGAGGGGUCCCCACACCUGCAGCGUCUGCACGUGCUGGUUAACCCUGGUGGUCUUUUCCUUCAAGCUGGUGAUGGAGUCUUUGGCGCGGACCAAUCCACUGUUGACCCCACUCUGGGGAAGAAUGAGAGAAGAAGCCAAACUUGUGACUUAGUAUCUGAACCACCAGAACACAGGAACCUGGAGCCUGCUGCAUUUGAAGAGCAAGCCUGCUAUGCUUGUUAAGACUUUUAUGUGAGAGAUAAACUAUCUUGCUUAAGCCAGUUCCUUUGGUUUCUCUGACAGUUGGUGAGCUAAUACACAAAGAGAGAAGAGAACAAUUUCCUCCACUGUAGGAAAGAGACAAUAUCAUGUUGCAGUGAAAGCAGUACUUUGAGAGAAAUCUAGAGCUCUAAACAUCUUCAAAAAAGAAGAAAGAAUUCAGAGUUAAUAAGCUAACUUUCCUCCUUAAGAAACUAGAGAAAGAAGAGCAAGACAAACUCGAAGGAAGCAAUAAAGACUGGAGUGCAGAAAUAACGAAAUUGAGAAUAGAUGGAAUCUAACAAAACUGGAAGUUGUUUGUUUUUGUUUUUGUUUUUGUUUUUUUUUAAAGAUCAACACAAUUGACAGAUCUAUAGCAAGACUGGCCACAGAAGAGAAGACUCAAAUUACUAAAAGGAAGGAAAGAGGGCACAUUGCUACCAAGCUUGGGGGAAGAAAAAGAACUAUCAGAGAAUACUGUGAACAGAGUGCCUGGCUGGCUCAGUCACUGGAAUGUGUGACUCUUGAUCUCAGGGUUGUGAGUUUGAGCCCCACGUUGGGUGUAGAGAUUGCUUAAAAAUAAAAU